AUGAAGCUGGAAUCGCUAGUAAUCGCGGAUCAGAAUGCCGCGGUGAAUACGUUCCCGGGUCUUGUACACACCGCCCGUCACACCAUGGGAGUCGGAAAUGUCCGAAGUCUGUGACCCCAACCAUUAAGGAGGGAGCAGCCGAAGGCAGGUCGGAUGACUGGGGUGAAGUCGUAACAAGGUACC
rnacentral:rRNA from 1 species